CCGGGAGGCCAAAGCGCGGAUGUUCAGAAACAUCUCCAAAGUUCACUUCCAGAUGCAAAAGGCGCAGGGGCUCCAGGAAGCUGAAGCUCAAGGACAGGGGAGCAGAUGAGGACAGCAGAAGCCAGGCCUCGGAGGCGGGAGGCGGGGAGUCACCCGCGGAAGCCGGAAGGGGGCGAGUCCACCCGCAAAGAACAAAGGGGAUGCCGCAGGGCGACCUGCCCUCCUCCUCACCCGCCCGCGCCCCGCUACUGCUUCCAACUGGAAGAUGAGAACAAAUCUGCCCACCUGCCGCCGCGCGGCUAGGCAGCGGGCUGUAGGAAGCCGCGGCCACAAGGGGCAGCAGCGCAGCCCGUAGCCCCGCCUCCCGGUCCGGAGCGCGGGCCUUCCAGCAGCGCGCCACCACAGUGAGGUCCGCCCGACCCAGGGGGUCCACAUGUUAUGGCAAGCAACUGAGGUCCACAGAGAACUCUGCAGAGCUAAAGCCUGAAAAACCAUGUUUGGCCUCUGUUUGCCUGAGAGAGUGAGGGCCAAGGCAUUAUUUGAGUGGGAGAGGAGGGCAAAGAGAUAAGGCCUGGACAGGCAGGUGCACCCAAGAAAUGGAUAAUAAGAUGUUCUUUGGAUGCUGACAUUAGCCAGGGGGAAAGCUUUAAUUAUGUCUUGAAGCAACACUUGGUUUUCUUCCUAAAGCCAUUUGAUAUAUUCUCUUGAGUUCUGAGCUGCCUUGGAACUUGCAUUGUUUGUUUCCUAGAGCAAGAUCCAAUUUUAUGUUUAAGGUCCUCGUCAUGGCAUCUUAGGACUUGCUGCUUCUCCCACUGACAAAAUGUGCCAUCCUCCAGGAUCCACAGAGGAAGGGGGUGUUGCCCACUGCUCUGCUGUCAAACAACAACGCUCACUGCAAUACACUUUCAUUACAGCGAAGCACACCACCACGGACAACAGGGAACUUUGCCCAGAACUGGCGGCCUCCCAGCACUGAAGCUAAAUCAUUUAUCUAGAAGAAUCUUUUAUCUUCUGAAUCCCCACUCCCUCCAAAUUCAUGUUGAAGCCCUAUGAUGUGAUGGCAUUAGGAGAUGGGACCUUUAGGAGCUAAUUAGGCUUAGAUGAGGUCAUGAUGGUGAGGCCUCCAAAAUGAGAUUUAUGUCCUUAUAAGAAAGAGCUCUCUGUCUCCAUCAUGUGAGGAAAUGGCAAAAAAAAAAAAGCAGCUCUCUGUGAGUCAAGAAGCAGACCGUCACCAAAGACCAAAUCUGCUGGCCUCCAGAACUGUGAGAAAUAAAUGUCUGUGUUU